CAUAUCAAUAAGCGGAGGAAAAGAAACUAACAAGGAUUCCCCUAGUAACUGCGAGUGAAGCGGGAAAAGCUCAAAUUUAAAAUCUGGCGGCCUUUGGCUGUCCGAGUUGUAAUCUAGAGAAGUGUUAUCCGCGCUGGACCGUGUACAAGUCUCCUGGAAUGGAGCGUCAUAGAGGGUGAGAAUCCCGUCUUUGACACGGACUGCCAGGGCUUUGUGAUGCGCUCUCAAAGAGUCGAGUUGUUUGGGAAUGCAGCUCAAAAUGGGUGGUAAAUUCCAUCUAAAGCUAAAUAUUGGCGAGAGACCGAUAGCGAACAAGUACCGUGAGGGAAAGAUGAAAAGAACUUUGGAAAGAGAGUUAAACAGUACGUGAAAUUGCUGAAAGGGAAACGCUUGAAGUCAGUCGCGUUGUCCAGGGAUCAACCUUGCUUUUGCUUGGUGCACUUUCUGGUUGACGGGUCAGCAUCAAUUUUGACUAUUGGAAAAAGAUUAGGGGAAUGUGGCAUCUUCGGAUGUGUUAUAGCCCUUGGUUGCAUACAAUGGUUGGGAUUGAGGAACUCAGCACGCCGCAAGGCCGGGUUUUAACCACGUACGUGCUUAGGAUGCUGGCAUAAUGGCUUUAAUCGACCCGUCUUGAAACACGGACCAAGGAGUCUAACAUGCCUGCGAGUGUUUGGGUGGAAAACCCGAGCGCGUAAUGAAAGUGAAAGUUGAGAUCCCUGUCGUGGGGAGCAUCGACGCCCGGACCAGACCUUUUGUGACGGUUCCGCGGUAGAGCAUGUAUGUUGGGACCCGAAAGAUGGUGAACUAUGCCUGAAUAGGGUGAAGCCAGAGGAAACUCUGGUGGAGGCUCGUAGCGAUUCUGACGUGCAAAUCGAUCGUCAAAUUUGGGUAUAGGGGCGAAAGACUAAUCGAACCAUCUAGUAGCUGGUUCCUGCC
rnacentral:rRNA from 1 species